ensembl:lncRNA
UGGACUCACUUUGAUGAAAUUGUAUGAAGAACCUGAUUUAAAGCAUGUGCAAGAGACAUGGUCAUAGAUGUGGAGGAAGCUGAAGAAAAGAGCAAUCUCAUAGCUGCUUCCUUGUCUAAAGAGAACGUUUGCUCCUGUUAGCCUGUGAAUGAAAGGGAAGAAUGAAAAUGGAAGAUGGAAAUUGAGCUGUCAGUAUGCUGUGAGGAAACGAACAGUGUGUAUUGUUCACAGAGGUUCGGCUUUACUGAAGAAUAUAUCCAGAAAAUAUUAGAGGAGUCAGAGGUCACUCUUUUACGCCAUUGCCUCAAAGCUUGCUGAGGAACAAAUUCAAGCAAGUCCUCACCAAGGACUGGGAAAUCCUUUGUCUGGAGGGGCAACAGAUGGACAAGGCCAGAGGCAACGAGAGAGAGAUAAGUGGCAGCUAAAUGGCCAGGAAACAGUCUUUUGUGUGGACUUAUCUCAAGAGAGACAGCCGUCUUACGGGGUGCGCACAUGACUAUUAUCCAAGUGCCCAGGAAUGUCACGUAGGCAGGGAAGAAGGAGGAUAAAAGAGGGUCCAACAAACAUGAAGGCAGGUGUCUGCCAUGAGAUCCCCCGCUACGAAAGGCCUGUAUGCUGACGGACUCUCCAGGGGCCUGCUACUGGACACCUGCUGCUUCCGCCCGGGCUUCUUCCUGGCCCAAGACCGGCCAUGCUGCUGCUGCUGCUGCUGCUGCUGCUGCUGCUGCUGCUGCUGCUGCUGCUGCUCUUCCCCUGCGCUUUUGCCCCGGGCCGUCGGAACGUCAUGGAACAGGACUACUGCCGGAUCCUGGUGAAACCACUCUUGGCUGAGACCUGGAAACUCACAACUUGAGGCACUGAUCAUGUCUGACCUGGACGUCAUCAGGACAAAUGGAUGUUCCCAAUUAUCUCACCAACUUUUGAAACUCAUUUAAAAAACUUUAGGGCUACACUAGAAUAGUUUGCUCUGCGCAGCGAACAAAUCCC